CUGCUGUACAAUUUUCUCCUCUCAUUUUCAGAUGAAAAGUGCUACACAGUUCUCACACAUCUUCUGACUCCGAAGCCGCUGCAGUGUAAAAUCUGAGAUGUCUUUUCUGGUUGAUUUUGUGCAGAUUUCUGACAGUGACAGCGAUGGUGAGGGAAGCAGUGUACCGAACUCUCAGAUGACUCGGACCAGGUGACCAAACCCAUGCAAAGCACAAUGACUGUGCUGAGGCGUUCCGCCCCCCUCCCCCUCCACACCACUCAAGGCACGGCGGCGGCCCAACCGCAAACUAACGGAGAUUAACAUGAGGCUGGAUGCGCUUGGCUCCCUGCUGCGUCCAUCACCAGAGGGGCCGGGAUUGCUGCGGCAGCUAGCCAAUUAAAGGAGGAGGAUGAAGGAGAGGAGUCUGACGAUGCAGACAUCGCCAUCGUAUGCAGUCCACGCCCUCGCAGGAAAACCAGCCAAUGAAAACGCUUGCAGCAGCAUCAGCAGAACACACCGG